GCUAUUCGACCCUAAUGCAGCUCCACCUGUGCGUGCUGUGCUGGGGGUGGAUAUUGGAUUUGAAUUUGAUUAUUGAUUGUUGUCUAAACCACAAUCUCUGCUUCGUUUCUUCUUUUUAUGCUUUCUUAUUUCUUCUUCUAUUCGAGUUUGGCGCCAAAAAGGGGUUAUUGUGAAACCCUACCUAACCAUACCGCAGAGGUUCUUCAGAGGCCACAAAAUUGACUGUUGAGACGCUCUAAUUUCCCAAUCAUAUGCGAAUUAUGCCUCCGGGACAACCCCACGUUCAAAUGAUUCGUUUCCAAUCUUCUUAUUUCCAGAGGUUUUUUUAUUAUUGGAGGUAUUUAUGUGAUGCAGAUGAGGUUUUGUUCUUGUGGGCUAUCUGAUCUGGUUUCCUUUCAAAAUCAUCUGCCAGUUUGUCAUGAUGAUCAGUCAAGAGAUAUGGCCUGCCUAUGUUUGUGAAUAAUAAUUGAAGUUUUAUUUUCAGUGUUUAUAGGGAAGUUAAACUACUUAAUUGAAUGAUUGAUAAUUUUAUUUUCAGUGUUUAUAGGGAAGUUAUAUUUGUUUUAGUUAAGUACUGAUUCAGUUUUAACAUUUCAAAGAUAAUUGUUUCCAUACAGAAAAUUUGAGGGAGAAGAAUGUGUAGUUAUUUAUUUAGGUUUAUUUAUAAACAAAUUUAAUCGUUUUAAGCUCUUAAAAAUGAUUUCAUUUGAGCUUUUGUAUAUAUUUAUUAUUUUUAAUGUCUUUUACUUAAUAAAAAUAUUUAGACAUAAAGGAUUAAAUAGAAUAAAAAAAAAGAGGAUAUUUCAAUAUGUAUAUGCUAUAAUAACUGAAUGUGAGGGAAAGACUUUUGCUAUACUUUAAUCUUUCAAAAUAGCUUGUUGAACUAUUGGCAUCAGAUUGCAAAGUAAUAGUGGAUAUGUUACAUCAAGAUGAGGAAGAUAUCUCAGAAUGUUGCUUUAUUAAUCGGCAGAUUAGGAACAUGCUCAAGAGUUAUCGUUUUUUCUUAGUCAGAGGUAUUCUACUUUCUCAUUGACCUGCAUAUUUUAUUUGGUUUUAAAUAAAUGAGUGUUUUAAAAAUUGUUUUUUAAAAUCAUUACUUAUUUAUUUAAGCUCAUCCUUAGAAAAAAGUAAAGUUAUUUCUCAGCUAUUAUCCUUUUGAUAUUCAACAAUUUAUAUUCUCUUUUUUAAUGUAGUUGUUGCUAAACUUAUUUUAUCUCUCUUUUUUAUGCAACAAUUGUGCUUCCAGGAUUAUUCAUUUCUACUGUGUUGUUUGACAUUGUAUUUAGAACUUUUUAUUGUUUUAUUUUUAAACAGAAUGUGAUAAUAGGUUGACAACCUCAGGAAUUGUCUAAUGAAGCUACAUUGUAGAUAUUGUUUCGGAGAGCUUAUCAUACUGUACUGAAUUUCUUUUUCUUGAUUUACCUAUGAUAAUCAAACAUAAAAAUAUUUUAUUUUCUAGAAACGUUUAUUGCUCCAGUAUUUCAAUAUGGAAAAUAAAUUCAUUUUCUCCACGUCUCCUUAAGCAACCUGAGCGCAGCCUAAUCUAAAAUGAACAAAACUUACCAUCUGUUCCCCUGAAUUUAUGAUAUGGUUAUAAUGUAUAAUAAAAUCACAACUAUAAGUGUGCAUUUUCAGAACAAUUCAAAGAUACAAAUUACACAUUACACAAGUAAUAUAAAUUUAAAAGAUUGAAGCUUUAAGAUGUCAAAAUCCUCAUAUCUAUUACUAAAAUUACUAACAUAGCAACAACGUAUAUUUUUAUUUCCUCAGUAGCUACUUUAUCUGCAACAUAUCCUUCUGCAUGUCUAGAUAAAUAUAUCAUAACCAUAUAUAUUGUACACUAUGUAAAGCUCAUUCAGAUAAAUUUCUUAAUAAAUAUUCAUAAAAAGAAGAAAAUAAUGAAGUAAUAAGGUAAAAUCACCUCUUUAACUCUUUUUAUUUUCUUUUUUUACAAAUAUCUGUCAAGAAAGUUUUACACAAUGACCGG